rfam:Glycine soja cultivar W05 scaffold3749_6, whole genome shotgun sequence.
GGUUCAUUAGCUCAAUUGGUUAGAGCAUUAUGCUAAUAACCUGAAAGCCACAGGUUUGAGUCUUGCUUGGACCA